CGUCGUAGUUCGGACUGGGGUCUGCAACCCGACCCCACGAAGCUGGAUUCGCUAGUAAUCGCGCAUCAGCCAUGGCGCGGUGAAUACGUUCCCGGGCCUAGUACACACCGCCCGUCAAGCCAUGAAAGCCGGGGGCACCUGAAGUCUGUGACCGCGAGGGGCGCCCUAAUGUGAAACUUGUAAUUGGUGCUAAGUCGUAACAAGGUAGACGUACCGGAAGGUGCGGCUGGAACACCUCCUUU
rnacentral:rRNA from 1 species